UCCUUGGUGGUCUAAUUGUUAGGACUCAGCGCUUUCAACUUCUGCAGCCCAAGUUCAAUCCUUGGUCUGGGAA
rnacentral:tRNA from 1 species